rnacentral:tRNA from 1 species
AAUCUUAUAUUUUAUAAAUAAAAAUAUUAAAUUGCAAAUUUAACGAAAACUACCAAGUUUAAGAUUU